UGCGUUUUUAUUUUGGUUUUUUAUUUUGUUUUUAACGUCACACAUAUUUAUGUAUAUACAGUGUCGAAAAAAACAUUUGCAACUACAAUUCAAAAUGCAUUUACUGAUUUUCGUUUUAAUGGAGAUGUUAAAUUUGAAAAUAUACAUACAUACAUGGUCAAAAUAAUAAGUACAUAACUCUAUAUAUUAAUAAUAAUUUUCAUAUGAUUUUAAAUAUCCAAAUAAUAUUCUAUAAAGACUAUUUUCAAAUAUAUAAAUUAUUGCGAGAAACUACCUAGGUGUAAAUUUCUAAUUCCAAAUUUUUUGUACACAUAUGUAUGCACAUACAUACAUGAAGAACAAAUACUAUUCCAUUUCAAGCACAGCCUCUUUGUGUACUAAAUUUCUAAUAAAUUUCAAUUAAUAAAAUAUGAUUUAAACCUAUAGAUACACAUAUUUAUAUACAGUUGUACAUACGUGUAUAUAUGAAUGCACAUGCACUUUUCAAGAUCACGGCAGCCUCUAUACGGUGAAAUGUAUCAAAGCGUAUACCUACAUAUGUACAUAUAUAUACGUUGUGUAUAUUAGUAAAUAAAUAUGCAUAUUGACAGCAGGUAAACCCCAUACUUUUGUUGUAACACGUUUUUGUCAUUUUAAAUCUCAGCAACAACGCUUUGCUUUCAAGAAAGGCUCCUUUUGACAUUGAAACAGCAUUCCACGACAAUCCAAUGAUCUUUAAUUUUCUCAGCGCACUUCUUCAUAUGACCUCAACUGAUUCUGAGCUUACAUAUAUUAGAGUGUCGGGUAUAGGAGAGAGCCAUUAGGAGCGCAUCUGACGUGUUCGCAACUUUCAGCAUCUGUUUAAAUUUUUGGGUCCCACCGUUUAUCAGAUAACUUUAUCGUUCACAUCGCAAAUGUGAGAAGUAGCCCAGCUA